rnacentral:rRNA from 1 species
UUUUAUGGAGGACUAAAUAUGUGCUAUAGGCAGAUUUGUAGGUACUUCAUGAAUAAGCACCGGCUAACUACGUGCCAGCAGCCGCGGUAAUACGUAGGGUGCAAGCGUUGUCCGGAUUUAUUGGGUUUAAAGGGUGCGCAGGCGGCCAAUUAAGUCAGUGGUGAAAUACUCCGGCUCAACCGGAGAGGUGCCAUUGAUACUGGUUGUCUUGAGUACAGACGAGGUAGGCGGAAUUUAUGGUGUAGCGGUGAAAUGCAUAGAUACCAUAAAGAACACCGAUAGCGAAGGCAGCUUACUGGACUGUAACUGACGCUGAGGCACGAAAGCGUGGGUAGCGAACAGGAUUAGAUACCCUGGUAGUCCACGCCGUAAACGAUGAUCACUCGAUGUAUGCGAUAGAUUGUAUGCGUYCAAGCGAAAGCG